rnacentral:rRNA from 1 species
UACGUAGGGCGCAAGCGUUGUCCGGAAUUAUUGGGCGUAAAGAGCUCGUAGGCGGCUUAGAAAGUCAGGUGUGAAAACUCUGGGCUCAACCCAGAGACGCCACUUGAUACUUCUAUGGCUUGAGUUCGGUAGGGGACCAUGGAAUUCCUGGUGUAGCGGUGAAAUGCGCAGAUAUCAGGAGGAACACCGAUGGCGAAGGCAGUGGUCUGGGCCGAUACUGACGCUGAGGAGCGAAAGCGUGGGGAGCGAACAGG